rnacentral:rRNA from 1 species
AUGUAUCUUAAUCAUACACAGCCAUUGUUUAAUCAGAUCUUAUCCAUGGAUGAACCGCGGAAAACUCUGUAUUCUUUGGACGCGCAUCCGACCAAGCCAUGGAUUAUAACUGGUCAUGCCUGUGGACAUGUUCGCAUUUGGAACCAUGAGACACAGUGCCUAGUGGAUUCAUUUAAAGUCUCGCGGGGAUCAGUUUAUUCUGUUAAAUUUAUUGUGCGGAAGCAGUGGUUCAUCUCUGGUUCAGCAGAAGGUCUCAUACAUGUUUACAGUUAUGAAACAAAAAUGCAAAAGAUCACGAGUUUCAGAGCUCAUGAUGGCCUCAUGUCGCUGGCUGUUCAUCCCACUCAACCGUAUGUGCUGUCAUCGCCUUGUUCGCGUCACCACGAGAAGAAACUUUGGGACUGGGAGAAGGGAUGGGACUGCACACAAACAUUUGAGAGGGAAUACUUUGAAAGGGAUUUUCUAUGCCAAGUCGCUUUUGACCCCAAGGAGACCAACCGUUUUGCUAGUACUUCGGAUCACACAGUGAAGGUUUGGAGCCUUGAUUCUCCCAAAUCUAACUAUAAUCUGCCUGGGCAUUUUAACGAAGUGAACUUCCUGGAAUUCUUCACACGUGAUGAACUGCUGUAUCUGAUUACUGGCUCUCAUGACAUGGCUGCAAUGAUAUGGGACAUGCAGAAGAAGAAAUAUGUUACCAAUAUGCCGCAAACUUUGAUGUCUCCUGUAGAUUCUGUCUUCUCACAUCCCAAACUACCAAUACUACUUACAUGUUCAUCUGACGGCACUUCUCAUUUCUGGAGCUCCAAAGAUUUUAGGCUUGAGGGAGUCCUUGACUAUGGUUAUGGAGGAAAUGUAAGGGGCGUUGCGUGUUUGAUGGGAUCGAAAGGAAGGUUUGUGAUUGCGCAAGAAGCUGCAUUAACAAUCCUGGAUAUUGAUAAUGAGAAAUAUCAGGAGUCAAGGGAAUCUAGUGAGCCACAGUUACGUGCUGAUACAAGACCAGAAGACACAUAUUCUGAGAUGAUAACCCAAGUGUCAAACGAGCUUCUUCGUGUCCACCCGCUGAAGCUCCACUUCCCCUUCCGAUCCCACAAGUUGAUCCCAUGCUCACUGCACCUAACAAAUAACACGGAUAAACAUGUGGCAUUUAGACUUAGUACAGAAGAGGGAUUGGUGUGGUGGCAGCAGCCCUUCACAAGGAUGCCCCUAAGCGGAAUUGUGCCGUCGAGAUCUACUUACACUCUCAUUAUAACGAUGAGAGAGCUUCCGAAACUGCUACAAGAACAAAACAUUAAUCUGAUUCUGCAGAGCAGUAUAUCUGGGGAUAAGUACAUCUAUACGUUCAUAGACCAAACCGAAUGUGAUCUAUUUUUUGAGGAUGCCAAAGAUACAGGGAAUGUAGUGCAUGAGGUGAAAUUGAAAGCUGUUUCGUCUCUGCAAGGACAGGCAAUGUCUGAGAAUGGAUCGACUGUAGAAGACGCAAUCCAACCUUUAAUAAACAUAUGGGGUUUGUUCCACCCUGCCAAGGACUUUUCUGGUGUGCUGUGUUCACUAGAUGCUGAUCCGACUGAGUCAUGGAUUAUAACAGGUCAUCGCCAUGGAGAUGUUUCUAUAUGGAAGUGUGGCACACAGGCACGUUAA